rnacentral:rRNA from 1 species
GAUCAUGGCUCAGGACGAACGCUGGCGGCGUGCCUAAUACAUGCAAGUAGAACGCACAGUUUAUACCGUAGCUUGCUACACCAUAGACUGUGAGUUGCGAACGGGUGAGUAACGCGUAGGUAACCUGCCUGGUAGCGGGGGAUAACUAUUGGAAACGAUAGCUAAUACCGCAUAAUAUUAAUUAUUGCAUGAUAAUUAAUUUGAAAGGUGCAAUUGCACCACUACCAGAUGG